UCCCACUCUCUCAACCUCUCCGUCUCUCAUCCUCUCAAUCUCUCACUGUGUGAAGAGUCUGUCCCGGCGACGGAGGGGAGGGCACGGAGGUCUCUCCCGGCGAGCCCCGCGAUGGAGAGGAGUGGAAGGCGGCUGAAGGGAGGGCACCGAGGGUCUCUCCCGGCGAGCCCCGCGGUGGAGGGGAGUGGAAGGCGACGGUGGGUCUCUCCCGGCGAGCCCCACGAUGGAGGGGACGUGAAGGCGACAUACUAGUCUGUCCCGGCGACGGAGGGGAGGGUACGGCGACAGAGUGAAGCGGCGGAGGUGGCGUCCACGUAGGGUCUCUCCCGGCGAUAUCCGAGACGGAGGGCCGGGGGCCGCGACGGAGGGAAGUGCGGGGUGGAGGGUACGGCGGCGACGGAGGGCACUUGGCGAGGGGAGGAGCGGCGGCGUUGUUCGAGACCAGCGAGGGGAGAAGCGGAGGCUGCGGCAUCAGACAUGGCCGGCGAGGGGAGGAGAGGUGGCGGCGGUGGGCGGUUUCGGCCACCGGAGCUAGGCGAGGAAGGAGUGGGCGGCGGCCGCGGCGGCUCAACUUCACAUCUCCUGUAAGUAUGUCCUCUCUAAUGCCAUUCAAUAAUGUGAAUUUGCUAGUAUCUGAAUGCGAUUAGAGCAGAGCACAUGAACUCAAUGUGAGCCUAUGUUUCCGUUCUGCUGUGAUGUGCAAAAUUCGUUCGCUCACCCUUCAUAUCAACUACAGUUCAUACUACUACCUGGACGGCACACAUCUUGCCUCUCCACAUCUCAGGACAGUAGACCUUGCAGGUGUAGCCUGACACGGCACCUUUCUUGAUUUCGUCAGUUGCCCGGCAUUGGAGGAUCUAAAGAGGCACGAGUGCGACAUCCGUGUUGAUGAGAUAUCUUCCAGCUCCCUUAAGCAUUUGAGCAUCACCGGUUGUUUCUCUGAUGUCAUAGCCGACUCCAUGUUUCUGCUACGGGCCUUGUUUCGUUGAAACUAGAUGAGUUUGCGAGUAUUACAGCAUUUUUUGGAAACAUGGUGCUGCUAGAGACGACAUGCGUGAAUCUUGUUAGUUACGACCAUGAUAUCUGUAGCAAUUAUCUUGGCGCUGCUGUUUUAUGUGGAGCUGAUAAUGCAUGUCCUAAUUGUCACGAUUUCAGCGGCGGCCUUGUGCUUCUGGGUUAUAUCUCAAGUGCUAGACAUUUGAAGUUGAUAUCUGAAUGCCAGAAUGUAAAUUGGUACUCUUAGAUCCUCUAUGUUAUCCUAUUUUGUGAUGCACUAUCUACAUCAUUGCUGGAUAUAGUAGGCUGUGGUACUAAUCUGACAUGGUAAGAAAAAGUUCAAGAUGGAACUAAGUUUUGACAUAAGUAUGUUGUGCAACAGACAAGGGAGACUGAGCAAGCACUGUGGGUUGGAGAGCCGGAGAAUGAAUCAGCUAAUGAGAAGAAGGCUGCGAGGGAUACUAUGUUUGGAAUGUUCAAAUCGUUGUGGAACCGGGACAUUGCUUGGAGAAGACCAGUGGCUGGGAACCUGUGUUGAUAAGAGAAUUUGUGUUGGGGUUCUUUUUGGCGAUGAUAAAUGUUCUACUUUUAGGGUUGUGUAUAAUUAUACCCUGAUGGGUUUGUCGGAUUAGCUAUUGGCAUCUGUUUGGAACUUUGGAUGCUUUCAUUUCCUCCAAGAAGCUGCUUGCUUGUGGUACUUGUAAGAAAACUAGGGUAGCAUAGCGUCACUCAGUUAUUCUCACUUUAAUCUACAUCUGAAUAGUAUUCAGUUGCAUGUCCUGUUUACAA